GCUACGUAAAAUUACUUACAUCAAAAAACGCCCGGGAAAUACGAGCGCAAGCUUAAAACCCAAAGGAUUUGACGGUGUCCCACCCACCUAGAGGAGCCUGUUCUAUAAUCGACAAUCCACGAUUUACCUCACCAUUUUUUGCUCUCUCCAGCCUGUAUACCUCCGUCGACAACUUAUCAUUUGAAUGUCAAAAAAUAAGUUUAAUGGUCUCACACACCAACACGUCAGGUCAAGGUGCAGCCUACAAAAUGGAAAGCAAUGGGCUACAAUUUCUAAUAUAGAACAAACGAAAAACUACAUGAAACACAGUCAUGAAGGCGGAUUUAGAAGUAAAAGAAGAACAGAAAACUUCUUUUAACCUGGCUCUGGGACGUGUACAAACCGCCCGUCACCCUCUUCAACAGCCACCACCAAUUUACUAAUGCUUAACAGCACUAUAGAAGAGGCAAGUCGUAACAUGGUAAGUGUACUGGAAAGUGCACUUGGCUAAACAAAGUGUAACUUAACUAAAGCCUCUCGCUUACACCGAGAAAAUAUCUAUUAAACUUAGAUCACUUUGAGCCUUAAAUCUAGCCUACAAUAUAUGUAUACAAACCUUAACCUAUCAUAAUAUAAUAAAACAUUUUACCAGUUAAGUAGAGGAGAUCAAAAACAUGAUAGCGC
rnacentral:misc_RNA from 1 species